UACGGAGAAAGCUAGCGUUAUUCGGAAUUACUGGGCGUAAAGCGCACGUAGGCGGCUUUGUAAGUAAGAGGUGAAAGCCUGGAGCUCAACUCCAGAACUGCCUUUUAGACUGCAUCGCUUGAAUCCAGGAGAGGUGAAUGGAAUUCCGAGUGUAGAAGUGAAAUUCGUAGAUAUUCGGAAGAACACCAGUGGCGAAGGCGGCUCACUGGACUGGUAUUGACGCUGAGGUGCGAAAGCAUAAAAAGCAAACAAG
rnacentral:rRNA from 1 species